UACGUAGGGCGCAAGCGUUGUCCGGAAUUAUUGGGCGUAAAGAGCUCGUAGGCGGCUUGUCACGUCGGAUGUGAAAGCCCGAGGCUUAACCUCGGGUCUGCAGUCGAUACGGGCUAGCUAGAGUGUGGUAGGGGAGAUCGGAAUUCCUGGUGUAGCGGUGAAAUGCGCAGAUAUCAGGAGGAACACCGGUGGCGAAGGCGGAUCUCUGGGCCAUUACUGACGCUGAGGAGCGAAAGCGUGGGGAGCGAACAGG
rnacentral:rRNA from 1 species